rnacentral:lncRNA from 1 species
CUGAGUCUCCGCAGUAGGGACCGAGAUCAAUCCAGACUCUGACGUCCCUGCCAGGGCCUUCCAGGACUUGCUGACCGCUGUCUGCUGGUCCUCCCACUGGAGGUCAGCGUACGUAGCGGACAUGGACUCCCAGGUAAAAACCCGGCCUGGGUCAUUUCAUAAGACCUUUUCCUAUUGGUCAUGUUCACAAUAAUCCUUUUCCUAUUGGUCAUGUUCAAAAUGACCUUUCCUAUUGGUUCAUGUUCACAAUGACCUUUUUUCCUAUUGGUCAUGUUAACAAGACCUUUUCCUAUUGGUCAUGUCACAAUGACCUGUUCCUAUGGUCAUGUUCACAAUGACUUUCCCUAUUGGUCAUGUUCACAAUAACCUUUUCCUAUUGGUCAUGGUCACAAUGACCUUUUCCUAUUGGUCAUGGUCACAAUGACCUUUUCCUAUGGGUCAUGGUCACAAUGACCUUUUCCUAUUGGUCAAGUACAGAGACUACCGAGCCGCCUUUAUCCUCCAUCUACCUCCUACCCUCUUUAUCCCUGCAUCAACAUCCAUCUC